CUGGCUCAGUCGUACAAGGUAGCCGUAGAGUAAGAUUGGUAAACGUGUGAAUAACACCUGGGCAAUCUGCCCUGCACUGUGGGACAAGCCCUGGAAACGGGGUCUAAUACCGGAUGAUACUUCUGCUCUCAUGGAUGGGGGUUGAAAGCUCCGGCUGUGCAGGAUGAUCCCGCGGCCUAUCAGCUUGUUGGUGAGGUAGUGGCUCACCGAUGAUACGACUGGUAGCCAGUCUGACAGGGCCACCAGUCACACUGGGACUGACACAGGGCCCAAACUCCUACUGGAGGAAACCCUGGGGAAUAUUGCACAAUGGGCGAAAGCCUGAUGCAGCGACGCCGCGUGAGGGAUGACGGCCUUCUGGUUGUAAACCUCUUUCAGCAGGGAAGAAGCGCAAGUGACGGUACCUGCAGAAGAAGCGCCGGCUAACUACGUGCCACCAGCCGCGGUAAUACGUAGGGCGCACGCGUUGUCCUGAAUUAUUGGGCGUAGAGAUCUCGUAGGUGGUCUGUCGCGUCGGAUGUGAAAGCCCGGGGCUUAACCUCGGGUCUGCAUUCUGUACCUGCAGACUAGAGUGUGAUAUGCGAGAUCGGAAUUCCUGGUGUAGCUGGUGAAAUGCGCAUAUAUGACGAGGUACACAGGUGGAGAAGGCGGAUCUCUGGGACCAUACUGACUCUGAUGCCCUGAAAGCUUGCGAGCGAACAGGAGUAUGAUACCCUGGUAGAACCACUCCCUAAUACAGUGGGGACCUAUGAUGUAGUCGACAUUCCACGCUCGGUCGAGUGACGCAGCUAACGAUUAUACCUCCCACCCGACUGGACGAGGUAGCCGCCCGCCAAGCUUAGACU
rnacentral:rRNA from 1 species